UAGCUUUGUAAGAACGCUUUAUUUUUCUGGUGCUGCAGGCUGCAACUUUCACACUCUGAGACUAAAUCCCUUUCGCAUCGUCCAGGUCCUGGGGAGAGACAUUUAUUUAAAAGUAGCUGAAAUGAAGCACAGAAACAAACUGUGCCUUUGUUCCCAGAAAUGGUCUGAAUGAAACCUGGGAUUAUGAAUUCUUUCCCACGUCAUGCUGAACCUUGGGAAGCUUUCCAUACAGCAGGCUCGGAGUCAGGGGACCAUUAAAAGCUUUCAGCUCGGCUUUGCAGUAUGCAAGAGACAAGUGACAAAAGUCAUCCCUUCCCCUAUUUCAUCCAGAAGCUUGCAGAGCUGUUUUUCUUUGGAGCAGGAGCUUGAAAAUCAGCUGGCUAUUACCUGGCAGCCAGGUUAUGGCUUCUUAAAAGAGACCUUUUGAAAUCCCUGAGCAUUGCUGUCUGCACAUUCUCAAGCUGUUAAACUCUUUUGAAGACAAGGCUUCAGCAGUCAUUUGGAAGUGCUCUUCCAGGCUGACCAAGGGAUUUGGAUCUGGUUGUCUGCAACAACUACUACAAACCAGCCUGUGAAUGAAAGCUGGAUGAAGAAUUUCCUGCCUGCUCUGUUUUGGUGAAGCAGCAAAGAAGGAGGGGGAAUACUGCUUUUAAAGAGAUAACUGUAUUAAAACACAUUUGGCUUCAC